UCCAAAUACUAUGUAUUUAUGACAAGCAUUGCCAAUCCAACUUUCUUAUUGCAGAUUUUAGGUGUAAUCAUAUUGAGAUCAUUGCAAAAUGAUUUUGGAAAUCAUAUCGAGAUCAUCUCAAGAUUAGGCAUGGUGUUCCUUCGUCUAUAAAACCGACCUGGUAUAAAAUAGUUUGAAAAUAUUUUUGAUAAGAACCAUGGCCAAAAUACCCUAAAUUUUAUCUGGGAGGUACAGGGCUUCUUUAUUUUCUUUUCACAUUAUUUUGAAUCUCUCCUUACUUUGUAAUUGUCCUUUAUGUACUUAGCUUUUAUGGAUACGUAACUCUUAGCUUUUUGAUUUUUUGUAUGUUAUUUAGUAAUAAGUUUUUCCUGUGAUCUACUUUGUUCUUCAUUAAAUUAUCUUGAUUAUUCUUGGGUUCAUGUGAUUGUAGUUAUCAAACAGUUUGUAUAAAAAACUUAUCAAAUAGUUUGCUUCUUUUGAUUAGAAGAGAAAUUUUGUUUUAUUUGUUAUUUUGAUUGCUUAAGAUAUUCAAUCAUUAAAUUUUAGAAGAGAACUUUUGUUUUAUUUGUGGCUUUUGUUUUAUUUGUGAGUUUAGAACCAUUUUACUUGGUUGCCUUUCGACUGAUCGAUUAGCUAUCAUUUCGCUUUUGUCCCAGUCCUUUAAUGCAUUGUGAUUUUCCCAAUAUUACUUGAUUUUCUUGAUUUCUUUAUGCUCCUGUUCAUUUUCUUCCUCUUCUUGAGCAAAGUGUGAAAAUAUUGCCUUGGAACAAGCAUGUGGGAUUGCAUGCUUUUUGCAUAUUUCCAUACUUCUUUUUUCGACAGUGAUGACUCAGAGGGUAAAAGAAAAAAGAGGCGAGGCCGGUCUACAUACUCAACUCAUUUGCUCUUAGGCCAAAAAUGAAUGAGAAGGAAUAGGCUUCAUUCUAGUGCAUUACACUCGGGCGCUUAUUGAUGGGACCAAGUUCGACUCAACCUGGAAUCGUGGGACGCCCUCAGCCUCUGUUUGGUUGGGGGUUAAGGGGUGGAAUAACCCCUUAACCCCCAUGAUGACAAUGAGCUUCAAGUUGCACUUUGUUCCAGUUGAAAUUAAGAUGAAUUGGUAGACAAGUGAGCUAAUUAUUGAAGAAAGUGGGAAAUUCAGAUUUUGGUGGAUAUUUUCUAACGAUGAAUUGGUAGGCAAGUGAGUUAAUUAUUGAAGAGAGUGUGAAAUUCAUAUUUGGAUGGAUAUUUUCUAAUGUCUUCAUCUAUUUUUUCCCUAAUUGAGUUGUAGGCAUAAAAUUGAUUUCA